ensembl:rRNA 5S_rRNA 5S ribosomal RNA
GUCGGUACGCCAUAUCACCCUGUAGCCCAAGACUGGUUGCCCACUGAAGCUAAGCAGGGUUGAGCCUGGUUAGUACCUGGAUGGGAGACCUACUAGUAAAGCUAGGUUGCUGUUGGAA